rnacentral:miRNA from 1 species
AGAGGAAUCACUGGGGAUCUUGUCAAAAUGCAGCUUCUGAGUUGGCAGGUCAGACGUGGGGGCCUGAGAUUCUGUGCUUCUAACAGGCUCCCAGGUGGCGCUGCU